UACGUAGGGGGCAAGCGUUGUCCGGAUUUAUUGGGCGUAAAGAGCGUGUAGGCGGCUUUGCAAGUCCGUUGUGAAAACUCGAGGCUCAACCUCGAGACGCCGGUGGAAACUGCAAAGCUAGAGUCCGGAAGAGGAGAGUGGAAUUCCCAGUGUAGAGGUGAAAUUCGUAGAUAUUGGGAAGAACACCGGUGGCGAAGGCGGCUCUCUGGACCGAGACUGACGCUGAGGCGCGAAAGCGUGGGGAGCAAACAGG
rnacentral:rRNA from 1 species